rnacentral:rRNA from 1 species
GUGAGGAAUUUUGCGCAAUGGCCGCAAGGCUGACGCAGCAACGCCGCGUGAGUGAUGAAGGCCUUCGGGUCGUAAAGCUCUGUCAGAGGGGAAGAAGUGUGGGGUGGCUAAUAUCCAUUUCACUUGACGGUACCUUCAAAGGAAGCACCGGCUAACUCCGUGCCAGCAGCCGCGGUAAUACGGAGGGUGCGAGCGUUGUUCGGAAUUAUUGGGCGUAAAGCGCGUAUAGGCGGUUUGGUAAGUCUGAUGUGAAAGCCCCGGGCUCAACCUGGGAAGUGCAUUGGAAACGUUCAGACUUGAAUACGGGAUAGGGUAGUGGAAUUCCUAGUGUAGGAGUGAAAUCCGUAGAUAUUAGUAGGAACACCUGUGGCGAAGGCGGCUAACUGGACCGAUAUUGACGCUGAGACGCGAAAGCGUGGGGAGCAAACAGGAUUAUAUACCCUAGUAGUCC